rnacentral:tRNA from 1 species
GCCUGGGUGGCUCAGUCAGUUGAGCAUCCGACUUCGGCUCAGGUCAUGAUCUCACAGUUUGUGGGUUCGAGCCCCACAUCAGGCU